GACGAACGCUGGCGGCGUGCUUAACACAUGCAAGUCGAACGGAAAGGCCUGCUUUCCCUUGUGGAUUGCGGGUACUCGAGUGGCGAACGGGUGAGUAACACGUGAGUGAUCUGCCCCCAACUUGGGUAUAAGCCUGGGAAACUGGGUCUAAUUCCCGAUAGGACUGCAGGGUGGUGCCUGUGGUGGAAAACGAUUUUCUAGUGGUUGGGGAUGAGCUCGCGGCCUAUCAGCUUGUUGGUGGGGUAAUGGCCUACCAAGGCGGAGACGGGUAGCCGGCCUGAGAGGGUGGACGGCCACAUUGGGACUGAGAUACGGCCCAGACGCCUACGGGAGGCAGCAGAGGGGAAUAUUGGACAAGGGGCGGAAGCCUGAUGCAGCGACGCCGCGUGGGGGAUGACGGGCUUCGGGUUGUAAACUCCUUUCGACCGAGAGGAAGCCACCUGGUUGGAAGGGUGGUGACGGUAGUGGUAGAAGAAGCACCGGCUAACUACGUG
rnacentral:rRNA from 1 species